GAAGGGGGCUAGCGUUGCUCGGAAUCACUGGGCGUAAAGCGCACGUAGGCGGAUCGUUAAGUCAGGGGUGAAAUCCUGGAGCUCAACUCCAGAACUCCCUUUGAUACUGGCGAUCUUGAGUUCGGGAGAGGUGAGUGGAACUGCGAGUGUAGAGGUGAAAUUCGUAGAUAUUCGCAAGAACACCAGUGGCGAAGGCGGCUCACUGGCCCGAUACUGACGGUGAGGUGAGAAAGCGUGGGGAGCAAACAGGAUUAGAUACCCUGGUAGUCCACGCUGUAAACGAUGGAUGCUAGCCGUUGGCCGGUUUACCGGUCAGUGGCGCAGCUAACGCUUUAAGCAUCCCGCCUGGGGAGUACGGUCGCAAGAUUA
rnacentral:rRNA from 1 species